UACGGAAUGUGCAAACGUUAUUCGGAAUCACUGGGCUUAAAGAGUCCGUAGGCGGCAUGUUAGGUGAGGUGUGAAAUCCCCCGGCUUAACCGAGAAAUUGCGCUUCAAACCGGCGUGCUUGAGGAAGAUAGAGGUGGGCGGAACUGAUGGUGGAGCGGUGAAAUGCGUUGAUAUCAUCAGGAAUACCGGAGGCGAAGGCGGCUCACUGGGACCUAACUGACGCUGAGGAACGAAAGCUAGGGGAGCAAACGGG
rnacentral:rRNA from 1 species